AUGUCCUGUUACGUUACGUCACGUCACGUCACGUCACGUCACGUCACGUCACGUCACGUCACGUCACGUCACGUCACGUCACGUCACGUCACGUCACGGUUUGAUUGCCUCAUGUUAAAGCACAGCAGAUGGACGUGCGCAACUAGAAAUCUGAUGAGCCUCGUACGACCCGGCAUCAUACGAUGCUCAACAGGAAUAAACUUAAGCAGUGCCAGUCCCGCAGAAAGAGGGACCAACGUUUUAGAAGAAACUCUUUCUAUGACACAUCAAAAUGGAGCCAAGAUGAUACGAGUCUUGAUGAGGAGAGAGACACCCAGGUUGCAUCAUCGUCUCAAAUCAGACAUAGGCUGCCCCAGGGCCUUUUCUCUCUCAAAGCGAUUCCCCAUAAAAUGAUUGCGAAUAAAGCAAGUAUGAGUGACAAAGGUUGUCACAUUACACCGGACAGAUUGACACAGCUCCCAGGCAUCUUCCGAAAUGUAAAGAAAUCAAAGAUCGUUUCCAGGAGUCCGCUGUCAUUGUUCAAGGAUUGGAAAGCAGGUACAGCAGGGAAAUCAAGUUGUGUGGCCAAGCAGAGCGCCAAUGAGACCAAGAAGGUGAUUGUGGAGCGAGUUGAUUCACCGAUGGAUUUUUCAAAUUUGUCUGGUAUGCAUCAUAGUCGACCCUUGGACGGUGAAAAUUACAGAUUUUUAAAUAUGUCUUCUGUGAAAGGUCAGAGUUCUUCCCAAAAUUCCACCUCCAGUUCAGAUCCUGCUCUCACCACUAAGGACGACCUCAAAGACUCAAAGCUAAUUCAAAGUAAAAAGCUAGAUAGGAGAGGAGUGACAAAGAAGGAAAACAAAUGCUUAAAGCAAGGAAAGUUGUGCAAAUACAAAUGCCAUGAAGUUGGAGUGAAUAGUCAUAAAAACAAGUGGAAAAGACUAUUUGAUAUUGGAAGUGAGGACACUGAGAAUGAGAUGCCUAAUUAUGAGAAGAGCAAGUUUUGGGGAGAUGAAGGACAGGGCUUUUCAGACUAUCAAGCUGAGGAAAGCAAGAAAAAGAUUUGCAGCAGUUCAACAGAUGAGUUGUUCUCCAUUGAUAAUGGCAGAGGUGGUGAGAGGAUGACUCUGAGGGCAACAGGCAAAUUUCCAGAUAUGACAAACGGAGCUUUACGCAAAGCUGUAUGCAAAGCUGUACGUACCGUGGAGAGCAUACUGGAGCAGCAGCCCAUUUUCCCUGAUUGCAACUUGGCUCGAGAAAUAUCCAACCAAUUGAUAAACACGAAUAAAGCACAGUGCCAGCCAACACAUGGCCUUUUGUCACACAAAAAAGGCUUCCCACAAUAUACUUCUUACAAUGAGAAUCAAAUGGAUAACCACAAUGGCACAGUGAGAGAAGAUCCACUUCAGGCUGACAAUUUUGAUCGAUAUGAAGGUUUUUCCUUCCUCAAGAAUCGAUCUUCACAGAAGGGUGGAGUGACCUCCACAUGCGUAAAACAACUCGUAAAUACAUUGAAAAGUCAAAAGUUAGGUGUGACUAAUGCUACCACCGAAGAAGCUUCCUGGCCUCUGCCUGUCAAUAUGUGUCAUGCAUUUGACAUGAAUACAAUGGCUCCGGAUUCAAUGGCGUAUGACCUUCCAUUACACACUGGUCUUGACCAAAAAACUACUUCAUCUCAUAUUAUGCACCCCAACAUACAGCCAACAAAAUGUCAGGAACUAUUUCCCUUAACCAGCACUUCACUGUUGACCUUGCACAAUGAGCCAUCAAACAUUAAUCUUUCUCAACACGAUGGUUUCAGGUGUACUAUAGAUGGGCAAAACGCAACAGAUUUAGGGACUAACUUAGUCUAUCCUUCUACCAGAGUUGAUCUGAAACACAGUCCAGUCAAUCCACUAUUGCUUUCCAAAAUUUUAGACUCCACGGCUAAUGCACCAUUCCCUGAUAACUGUUGUAUGCAUGAACAUCAUCAGCAGCUUGCACAAAUGACGAGCAUAGGUUUGAUGCAGAAUGAGGUGAUAAUGAACGACCCAGAUGUGUGUGUUAAUUUGCCAUAUUUGACAUCGGAUAGCAUUGCCUCGACAAUGGUGCCUACAUUUAACAGUUUUAUUCAAUCUUUCACAAGCCCAGAAUUCAUCUCGGCAGCAGAAAAAAAGCAGUGCCUUGUUCCAGAUGAACCUGAAGAAGUAAAGUGCUUUUCUCCAUAUGAUACCUCUAAUAUAUUGAGCAGUGAUUCGAGCUCAGAAGGAUGGGUCUUUUCACGCAUGAAGAUGUAUUAACAACAUUUGAAUAUGUGAUUAAUGAAUAAAUGUCCUAAAGUUGUUAUCAAUGAACAAUAAAAUGUAUAGUGAAGUCACAUGGCCUUAUUUGUGAUAACA
rnacentral:lncRNA from 1 species